rnacentral:rRNA from 1 species
CAGUAGCCACGGGAAUACGAAGGGGGCUAGCGUUGUUCGGAAUUACUGGGCGUAAAGCGCACGUAGGCGGACAUUUAAGUCAGGGGUGAAAUCCCGGGGCUCAACCCCGGAACUGCCUUUGAUACUGGGUGUCUAGAGUAUGGAAGAGGUGAGUGGAAUUCCGAGUGUAGAGGUGAAAUUCGUAGAUAUUCGGAGGAACACCAGUGGCGAAGGCGGCUCACUGGUCCAUUACUGACGCUGAGGUGCGAAAGCGUGGGGAGCAAACAGGAUUAGAUACCCCGGUAGUCCCUGUCUCUUAUAC